rnacentral:lncRNA from 1 species
CCCCCACCUCCGAUCGCCGCCGAUCGCCCUCGCGCGGAUCUCCGGCGCCGUCGAUCUCCUCGCCCUCGACUCCCACCUCGACGCCUCCCUCGCCCUCCUCGACGCCUGCAACGUCGCCUCCGCCGCGAUCGACCUCCUCCGCCGCCGCCUCCUCCCCCUCCGCCUCCUCGCCGCCUCCUCCGACUCCUCGCGCCGCGCCCGCGACGCGAUCGCCGAGUGGGCGGCGGCGCCGCGUGGACGGAUCUCGGCCGUCCGAGGGGUGAUCGCGGCGGGGAGGUCGUUGGCGGCGACGGAGGAGGUGGCGGCGGUGGACGCCGCCGUGAGGAAGUUAACGGCGGCGGUGGAUGACGGAGCGGAGACGGAGAGGCUACGUGGCGCCGUUUCAGAGGUUGGGAGGGUGACGGAGGAGCUAACGGCGGGGCUGGACCGUUUGGGGCGCGCCGUCGAUGCGGAGUUCCGUGCGGUUAUGGCUUCGCGAAACGCCGCCCUACAGAGGAUCCGAUUUG